ACUUGGGGAGUCUGGCUAUAAGAGGGGGAGUAACUACGGGAAACUGUAGCUAAUACCGCGUAAAGUAGGGAUACCAAAGGUAGUGGGACAGAGAUGCCACAUGCUUAUAGAUGAACCCAAGUGAGAUUAGGUAGUUGGUAAGGUAAGGGCUUACCAAGCCGACGAUCUCUAGCUGGUCUGAGAGGAUGACCAGCCACACUGGAACUGAGAGACGGUCCAG
rnacentral:rRNA from 1 species